GAUGAACGCUGGCGGCGUGCCUAAUACAUGCAAGUCGAGCGAAUGGAUUAAGAGCUUGCUCUUAUGAAGUUAGCGGCGGACGGGUGAGUAACACGUGGGUAACCUGCCCAUAAGACUGGGAUAACUCCGGGAAACCGGGGCUAAUACCGGAUAAUAUUUUGAACUGCAUGGUUCAAAAUUGAAAGGCGGCUUCGGCUGUCACUUAUGGAUGGACCCGCGUCGCAUUAGCUAGUUGGUGAGGUAACGGCUCACCGAGGCAACGAUGCGUAGCCGACCUGGGAGGGUGAUCGGCCACACUGGGACUGAGACACGGCCCAGACUCCUACGGGAGGCAGCAGUAGGGAAUCUUCCGCAAUGGACGAAAGUCUGACGGAGCAACGCCGCGUGAGUGAUGAAGGCUUUCGGGUCGCAAAACUCUGUUGUUAGGGAAGAACAAGUGCUAGUUGAAUAAGCUGGCACCUUGACGGUACCUAACCAGAAAGCCACGGCUAACUACGUGCCAGCAGCCGCCGUAA
rnacentral:rRNA from 1 species